UCUAAAGAAAAUCUCAGCCCUAGCCCUCGCUGUUGCGCGUGCACGCACCGUGGAGCAAUGUCCCAAUACCACUUUAAGGUAGCUUUAAGGGGUAAGAGGGAGGGCUAACAUCCCCUCAAAAUUGAGAUUUUCGAUGGGCACCCUCAAAGCGAUUCAGUUCUGACUUGCUCCCACAAUACCUUGCGAGAAAACGGAAAAUCAAGAAAUAUCCCAGACAAGAUGGAGGACGAAAAGAUGCGACAGGAUUGGAAAAACACAAAUGACAUCGUUGAGUCCACUGCCACCAGCCCCCCCACCUCUCCCUCAUGCUCCUCCACCCCAGGCACCUCUUCCACCACCCCAGACACCCCUUCCAAGAGGAGAGUGCCAGGGGGCAGGCGAGGCAUGAGGAGAGCGAGGCAAAGUUGGCGGAAUGGUGGAGAAGAUGUGAUUCUCCACCAUUCUCUCAAAAGCUGAGAGAGAGUGUGUGUGUGUGUGUAUUUUUAGGUUUGCGUGUGUGUGUAUUUUUAGAUGCGUGUGUGUGUAUUUUUAGAUGUGUGGUUCAGUGUUUCUUAUUUAAAUAAAGUGUUUCUUCUAAA